GAACGCCCCGCAAGGGGAGUGGCAGACGGGUGAGUAACACGUGGGAACCUUCCCUAUAGUACGGAAUAGCCCCAGGGAAACUUGGAGUAAUACCGUAUACGCCCGAGAGGGGAAAGAUUUAUCGCUAUAGGAUGGGCCCGCGUAGGAUUAGCUAGUUGGUGAGGUAAUGGCUCACCAAGGCGACGAUCCUUAGCUGGUUUGAGAGAACGACCAGCCACACUGGGACUGAGACACGGCCCAGACUCCUACGGGAGGCAGCAGUGGGGAAUAUUGGACAAUGGGCGCAAGCCUGAUCCAGCCAUGCCGCGUGAGUGAUGAAGGCCUUAGGGUUGUAAAGCUCUUUUGCCGGGGACGAUAAUGACGGUACCCGGAGAAUAAGUCCCGGCUAACUUCGUG
rnacentral:rRNA from 1 species